GGGCGCUUAGCUCAGCGGUAGAGCACUACCUUGACAUGGUAGGGGUCACAGGUUCGAACCCUGUAGUGCCCA
rnacentral:tRNA from 2 species